rfam:Gorilla gorilla gorilla genomic chromosome, chr11, whole genome shotgun sequence
GCCGGAUGUGGUGGCACAUGCCUGUAAUCCCAGCUACUCAGGAGACUGAGGCAGGAGAAUGGCCUGAACCCGGGAGGUGGAGGUUGCAGUGACCGAGAUCACACCACUGCACUCCAGCCUGGGCAACAGNNNNNNNNNNCUGUUGCCCAGGCUGGAGUGCAGUGGUGUGAUCUCGGUCACUGCAACCUCCACCUCCCGGGUUCAGGCCAUUCUCCUGCCUCAG